GGAAGAACGUAGCGAAAUGCGAUAAGUAAUGUGAAUUGCAGAAUUCAGUGAAUCAUCGAAUCUUUGAACGCACAUUGCGCCCAUUAGUAUUCUAGUGGGCAUGCCUGUUCGAGCGUCAUUAAGUCCACUUAAGCCCUUCUUAGUGUUGGGAGACUGCUCCAGCGGUGCUACCCUGUAGCUACCCUGCAGCUCCUCAAAGACAGCGGCGGAGUUGUGGUAUCCUCUGAGCUUAGUAACUUGUUCUAGCUUUCGAGUACACCACUUCCCCUGCCGUAAAACCCUUAAUUUUUAAUGGUUGACCUCGGAUCAGGUAGGAAUACCCGCUGAACUUAAGCAUAUCAAUAAGCGGAGGA
rnacentral:misc_RNA from 1 species